rnacentral:lncRNA from 1 species
AGAUGUCCACAAUCUCCGACGAUGCCUCCAUGUCCACAGCUUUCAAGAUUUCCGGCAUGUUUGCCCUAUGUGUGUGGUGUUUUUUUUUGUUUUUGUUGUACCUCUGAAGCUUUCACUAACCAAUCGCAAGAUUUAUUCACAGGGUGAACAUUUUGGCCUGCAGUCGGACUGCAUCGGCAACUGGCUAAAAUUAACUUUGGCCCAAGACCCAAAAACAAAAUCCAAGAAAAAUCACCAAAAAAAUAUAUAUCUGUAGAAAAUUACACACAGGGAUCGCACGGAAAACUAUCCAUCAAGUAGUGACAUAAGGAAAAAUCACAUACGAGUGUGUACAAUAUGUAUUUAUACUUUAACCGCAUAUGUGGAAAGUAAAGUAAAUAUUUAUAUCGCGUACUGACCGCACAAUGUUGCACUUGUUUUUUUUUUGUGUUAUGCAAAAAUUCUAAACUGGAAUCCGACUUUUGGUUCAACUUCUCACUGGGGGCUCUGCCAUUCAAUUAGUUCAGUGAAAUUCACAUUUAAAUGCAGCCACAAAUAAUUUGAUAAUAUACGACGAUUACGAGCACAAUUGCGAGAGUGUCUGUGGCUGUGUGUUUAGAGCAAAAUACUUUGGAUUUGCCGCUGGAUGGCCUUUCCCAUUUCCCGCUAUUGGUUCACGUCUGUUUGCGUUGAUGGCUGUCCGGUUAAUGUUUUCUUUUACUUUCCAUUUCGUGCUCCAUCGUGGGGGCGUACCACCAGUGACUCUAAGACUGUACAACAAUGUGCCCGAUCGGCUCAUGGAAUUUUCGGUUUAAAUAGUGAGAGAGAGAGAGAGAGAAAAAGUGCCGUUUGGUGGACGAUCAGUACGUUAUCGGUUCGGAUCGGCCGGCUGCUUCGUGAGCUUUGUGGAGAGAGUAAGUAUGUACAUAAAUGAGCAUUUCCAGAGAGCAUUGCAUCCACGAAACUUGCGAUCGUCAGAGAGGGAAAGAAGAGAGUGGGCAUAGAAGAUAAAUAGAGUAACCGAAAGAGCGGUUAGUGCUCAUGGCUAUCCCAAUAUCUUUGGCUGUGUCCCGAAUGCUUUGAUAUUUACUUAUGCAUUUAUUUCGUUAUUAUAAUUUUAAAUUCAAGUGCAUAUAUCAUAAGAAAAUGCCACUCAAAGAACUACUCCACCCUUUUUUUUAUUUUGGGAGUUGCAUAGAACUUGGCAUGGAGUCAGAGAAAGGAGCAAGGCCUCUGCAUAAUCGGAACUGACAUUUGCACUAUGCAAGCUUCCUCUUGCUCGCCUCUAUUCCAUUUCCAAUUCACUCCUAAAUCAAAAAAUAUUCACAGUAAAUUCACAGUUGCAGCUGGCAUGAAAACGACAGACCAUACGGUAAAUGGCAUAUGGCAAGCAAAGAGAGGACACGUAGAGAAAGAGAGCAGCCGGAGCACAUGGAGUGCAGUGCAGCGCAGUGCAGGGAAGACCAAUGGGAAG